rnacentral:lncRNA from 1 species
AAAGCUGCUGCCUCAUUUAGCGAAUGGCAUUCAGACAACUUUUGGCUAUGUAGCCCAAAUUCUCAAUCCUCCUGUCUCUGUCAUCCCUCACUUAUAGACUUCAAGGGAUUGCAUUUGAUGUAUCAAUUACAUCUCUGUUGCUACAGCAAAAUGCCAUGGUCAGAGCAACCUAUGGAUGGAGGAGGCUUCUGGAGCUUAGGAUUCCAGAGGAACAAGAGAGCCUAUGAUGGCAGAGGAGAGGCCAGGCAACAAGCAGCAGGUGCAGGGCCAAAACCCAACUCUAGUGACACACUUCCCCCAGCAAAGUCACUCUGAACAUCACAGACAGUACCUGCUAGCCUUCUGUUGAAACUCCUCCCCACAGUUAUCUGGCAACAGCCAGGUAGGCCUGGCCCACUAUAAAAGGGCCUGCUUGCCUCCUCUGUCUCUCUGUCUCUCUUUCUCUCUGUCUAUCUGUCUCUGUCUCUCUGUCUCUGUCUCUNNNNNUGUGGUCCGUAGUCCACCUCUGUCAAUAAAGUCUUAUUAAUCCACUUCC